AAGUGCUGGUGCUUUAAGUAGAAGGUGCAAUCCCUGGGCAUUGGGAAUACAGAAAAGGGAACAACAACAACAACAAAAAAAAAAACAGAAAGAAUGAGAAUAAAUAAAAUAUGAGUGAGUUCCUACACUGACUACUGCUUCAUGUGAAGCCACAAAGGGACACACUGGUCACUUGACAGAAGCAUUAGCUGCACCACACACGACAUCUUACAUGGAGAAACUCUACCCUGAAGCAAUGUAUCAAGAGAGAACAGAACAUUGGUCAAUAUUCACCCACUGGAGCUCUUACCACCCCACACUUCCAUAUUGCCUCAUCUUACCACCUCUCCCCAUCAACUCCUCUGUUUUUCAGUACAACAUUUCACCCAAAAGAACUGGGAUGGCGUCACCUGGAGCUUAAGAAACUGCACGCAAGUAUUGAAUUCCUAGUGAGAGUUUAACAAUGGCCAAAAACAAAUUAAGAGGGCCUAAGUCCAGGAAUGUAUUUCACAUAGCAAGCCAAAAAACUUUAAGGCUAAAAACAAAGCAAAACCAGUUACCACUAAUCUUAAGAAGAUAAACAUUAUGAAUGAAGAAAAAAUCAACAGAGUAUAUAAAGCUUUUGUAGAUGUACAAAAGGAACUUGCACAUUUCUGAAAAGGCCUUUCGCUUGAACCUCUGCAGAAAGAACUGAUUCCUCAGCGGCAUCAUGAAAGCAAACCAGUUAAUGUUGAUGAAGCUACAAAAUUAAUGGCUCAGUUGUAAAACAGUAGUGAUUCCCCACAAAGACCAAUAAAUUAAAUGUUUUAUACAAAAAAAAAAAGAACUGGACUCUCCAGAUUGACCACGAGUGGUGAUACCCUGCAAUCCCACCCAAGACCCUUUGGCUUCAAAAGUGACAGCUACUUCAGAGCAAGCAGGGGGCAGGGAAAGAUGUGAGAAUCUCAGCAGAUGAGAGAAUCCCAUGAGGAAAAGAGGAUACACACAAGAUAGAGUUGAUAAAGUAUGAGACAGUGGCUUUGAAACUGUAAAGCUGCAAACAAUGAAAAGCGAUGUUGUUUUAUUGGUCUUCUUUAAAAUGCAACUGUCUUUCCACCUCAUCGUCUCUGCACUUGUAUAAGUUUGAUGAGCUUUCAACUAGACUGCACAAAUGAAGCCUUCCUUGUUUCUGCUGUUACUGUUGAAACAGCACCUCUUUGAAACAAGCCACUUCAUCUUCUCAUAAAAAUCCUUAUAUUCAAAAUAGGA